AAUGAACGCUGGCGGCAGGCCUAACACAUGCAAGUCGAACGGAUCCUUCGGGAUUAGUGGCGGACGGGUGAGUAACGCGUGGGAACAUACCCUUUGGUACGGAAUAGCCUCGGGAAACUGGGAGUAAUACCGUAUGUGGUCGAGAGACGAAAGAUUUAUCGCCAAAGGAUUGGCCCGCGUUGGAAUAGGUAGUUGGUGGGGUAAUGGCCUACCAAGCCGACGAUCCAUAGCUGGUUUGAGAGGAUGAUCAGCCACACUGGGACUGAGACACGGCCCAGACUCCUACGGGAGGCAGCAGUGGGGAAUCUUAGACAAUGGGGGAAACCCUGAUCUAGCCAUGCCGCGUGAUCGAUGAAGGCCUUAGGGUUGUAAAGAUCUUUCAGGUGGGAAGAUAAUGACUGUACCACCAGAAGGAGCCCCGGCUAACUCCGUGCCAGCCGCCGCCGUAAGAC
rnacentral:rRNA from 1 species